rnacentral:piRNA from 1 species
UGGAGCUAAACCAAAGUUGAUAUGUGA